rnacentral:rRNA from 1 species
CUACCUACGGCAGGCAGCAGUGGGGGAUAUUGCACAAUGGGGGGAACCCUGAUGCAGCGACGCCGCGUGGGUGAAGAAGCGCCUCGGCGCGCAAAGCCCUGUCAGCAGGGAAGAAAAUGACGGUACCUGAAGAAGAAGCCCCGGCUAACUACGUGCCAGCAGCCGCGGUAAUACGUAGGGGGCAAGCGUUAUCCGGAUUUACUGGGUGUAAAGGGAGCGUAGGCGGUUUAGCAAGUCAGAAGUGAAAGCCCGGGGCUCAACUCCGGGACUGCUUUUGAAACUGUUGAACUAGAUUGCAGGAGAGG